UCUUCGGAGUGAAGAAUCUCUGGAUUAGUGGCGGACGGGUGAGUAACGCGUGAGCAAUCUGCCUUACACAAAGGGAUAGCCUCGGGAAACCGGGAUUAAUACCAUAUGAGAUCACAGCUUCGCAUGAAGAAGUGAUUAAAGAAUUUCGGUGUAAGAUGAGCUCGCGUCCCAUUAAUUAGUUGGUGAGGGUAACGGCCCACCAAGAUAGCGAUGGGUAGCCGAUCUAAGAGGAUGACCGGCCACAUUGGAACUGAGAAACGGUCCAAACUCC
rnacentral:rRNA from 1 species